rnacentral:rRNA from 1 species
GAACGCUGGCGGCGUGGAUUAGGCAUGCAAGUCGUACGAGAAUCUGUUGAGUCUAUUCUUCGGAAGAAGCAUGACAGAGGACAGUGGCGCAAGGGUGAGUAACACGUGGAUAACGUACCUCUACGCUGGGGAUAACUCCUCGAAAGGGGUGUUAAUACCGAAUGUGGUUGUACAGCAUCAGGUUGUACAAUUAAAGGCGGGGACCUUCGGGCCUGCCGCGUAGAGAUCGGUCCGCGUCCUAUUAGCUUGUUGGUGAGGUAACGGCUCACCAAGGCGAUGAUGGGUAGCCGACCUGAGAGGGUGACCGGCCACACUGGGACUGAGACACUGCCCAGACUCCUACGGGAGGCUGCAGUCGAGAAUCAUUCGCAAUGGGCGAAAGCCUGACGAUGCAACGCCGCGUGCGUGAAGAAGGCCUUCGGGUUGUAAAGCGCUUUGAUCAGGGAAGAAGUAUAUAUGCGUUAACAGCGUAAUAUAUUUGACGGUACCUGAAGAACAAGCCCCGGCUAAUUUCGUGCCAGCAGCCGCGGUAAUACGAAAGGGGCAAGCGUUGUUCGGAUUUACUGGGCGUAAAGGGGGUCUAGGCGGUCUAUUAAGUUUCCUGUGAAAACCCGGGGCUCAACCCCGUGGACUGCAGGGAAAACUGGUAGACUUGAGUAUGUGAGACGCGUGCGGAAUACUGGGUGUAGCGGUGAAAUGCGUAGAUAUCCAGUAGAACACCAGCGGCGAAGGCGGCCCGCGUGCACAUUACUGACG